GCUGCAUGUGCACUCUGCUUCGGAGAUAAGGAAUGAAAAAGCGAGUUGAUGAGUUCACCUGAACUAGGUUCUCCUUCCAAGUUCCCCCCACCCCUCCGGAUUCAUGUGUACAGAAACUGUAUUUCUGUAUUUUCUUGAAUCUUGACUUGUAAUUAUGUAAAGAAAUUAAUUGUAUUAUAAUCAUAUUAUACAGAACUGCUUCUCCUGUAUUGGAAAUACCCAGUUC
rnacentral:misc_RNA from 1 species